rnacentral:rRNA from 1 species
UACGGAGGGUGCAAGCGUUAUCCGGAAUCACUGGGUUUAAAGGGUGCGCAGGCGGCCGUGCCAGUCAGGAGUGAAAGCCCCCCGCUUAACGGGGGAACUGCUCUUGAUACUGUGCGGCUCGGAUCAGGAUGAGGUCGGCGGAAUGUGUCAUGUAGCGGUGAAAUGCUUAGAUAUGACAUGGAACACCAAUUGCGUAGGCAGCCGGCUGGACCUGCAUCGACGCUGAGGCACGAAAGCGUGGGGAGCGAACAGG